rnacentral:lncRNA from 1 species
CGAGGUUGAGAAUAUCCCAUCAGCGACCAGACACGCGGAUCUUGAGCGUGUGCGGGUCGGGUCAUCGGGUUGUAGCCUUGAACAUAGUCGUUUUGAGGCCAUUAAUUUGGCCUAAAAUGGUGACGUACAGAGGUCCCUUAUAGCCACCGAAGUAAACCCUAAUAUGUUUGCAACCAUUCACAAAAAAAAAGAAAAAAACUAAGACUCUCUCUCAAUCCUCCACCGACCAACAACCUUUCGAAGGUCUGUUCCUCUGCCUCUCCUUUUGACUCACACGAGAGUCAAUCAAGGCUUCCUCGAGUCGAAAGAUUCGUGAGUCUUGCUUAUAGCCCCAAAUCGCCACUUAGUUUCAAUCAUGGUGAAACAAGCGUGGAUUCGAAGGCAUCAAACGCAGGUAAGUGUCGUUUCCUCUCUUUUUUUUGUUAUUUACAUUCGAUCAAAAAAGGGUAAACGAGAAGGUCAGAGAGAAACAAGUGACAGGAAUUGCGAAUAAAUCACAUUUUUUCGUCUAUUGCUUUUCUAUUGCGUAUAUUGUCAGUGUUGGUAUUUGUAACCUUUACAACCAUUAAAGAUCCUGGCUUUAUAGCCGAAAAGAAGAAGGAAAAAUAAUAAAAAUAAAUCAAAAGAAUUCGAAAUUUGUUUUUUGCUUUUUUCUGCUCUAUGCUGCUGUUGCGUUUGUCUUGUUUGCAGGUACGGAGCAAGGCGCGUGUACGGGGGUCGUGUUGGCGCUUGCCAUGGGCGUACGAGGGCUGUUGACGUGGAGGCACGAGCGGCGAUUGGGCUGUACGGUGGCUGAAGGCUGCGGCGCCUCUGCUGCUAGGACUAGGGUUUGGUGAAAUUUGUUUAGCAUUUGGGCUGUUUGGGCUCAUUUCGAGUGUUGGGUUAGUCUUUGGGCAUGGGGUUUUAAUCAUUGGGUCUAGGUAUUGGGCUUGUAACAGGACAUUAAUUAAUGAACUUUGUUUUUGUUUAUUCAUUUUGUAUAUAAAUUUAUAUAUAGGGUUUUUAGCGAGCCCGGGCCAAAAUUGGUCACUACAUUGGGUUUUAACAUUCAAGGUAUAUUUUUAAACGAAUCGGUUUGGACAAAAUUUGAAGUUAUUUUUAUUUCGAGUUGAACUAGACUUGGACAAACAUAAAUUAUAUUAACAUCAGUGAUUUAAUAACAGGAUCGGUAGUUGAACCGGUCAGACCAUUGGUUUGACAAUCCAACAAUAAUUAAAAAAUUCUCAAAAAUAUUAAGCAUUUAUAAAACCGGUUCAAAUACCAAUUUUUUG